GUCUACAGCCAUACUACCCUGAACGUGCCUGAUCUCGUCUCAUCUCGGAAGCUAAGCAGGGUCAGGCCUGGUUAUUACUUGAAUGGAAAAAUAUAGUGAGGGGUUUGGCAGGAGUGAAAG
ensembl:rRNA 5S_rRNA 5S ribosomal RNA